UCUACUAUUUUGUUUAAAAGACCCAUGAAUUCAUAAAAUUGGAUAAUACUGCCCUGGAACACACAAUCCCAGACCCCUUUCUGGCCAAAGGAAAAAAAUUCGUCUCAGCUGUCCCCUCAGGAAUACAGCUGUGUCAUCGCAUACCGUGGCAUCCUAAUAUUUCAUACUAAGCUUUAAACCAAUUAGGAAUGACUACUGACUGUGCUGACUCAUGGGAAGAGAAGGGGAUAAUGUGUCCUUCAGACAGUUCAUAAUUUCCUCUGCUGAACAAAUGGUGAUUUGUGAGCAAAGUAAGACACGGACUGGGGUUGGAACUUCUUGGACCUCCCCAUCCUGGGGCCCAGAGCCCUUGAGACUCUACCAGCUAUCUUGGGAUAAGCCUAGGAAACUUCUGGACCAGUUGCUUCCCAAAGAUCCUGCUAACUGACACUUCCAAAUCUGCUUUGUCUGGAUAUGGAGCACACCCAGAGUAAUUCGUCUGCUUUAAUUUGUGAGCCCUGGGAACUGAGUCACUGGUAAAUUUUCUUUUGCCAUGGUGGCUGGCUCUCAAACUACUGGUGUACUUAGGGCAAGGGUAUGGAACACUAAGGCAUGCAUUUUGGAUUAACCACAUUUUAUGUUCCCAUCAUUCAUUUUUUUUCCUCUACUUCUGAGGCAUGUAACCGGGCAUUUGACACAAUUCUGAAAACCACCUGAACUCUCUUUUUUUGAGUAAGGUGGGUUAGGAAAUGAGCCAGUCAACACAUAAAACUAAAUAUUUUUUU
rnacentral:lncRNA from 12 species